ACUGCUCCUGGGCACAGAGCUGAAGGGGAACUGGAGGCUGCGGCGUUCCUCUCUCCGUUCCCCUCUCUCUGGUGACUCGUGAUAACGAACCGACCUUUUGGAGACAUUCUGUGCCCUCAACAAAAGCGGCCCCUGUCUGGAAACCCCCCCGAGGGAGACUGACUUCCUCCCCUGCUGCCUGGGCUGCGGUAGCUCUUCCGGCACCUGCUCUUCAGGCACCUGCCCUGUGCUGGCCCCUCCUGCAACAAUCGGGAGCCCUCACCUCAGUCGGCGCUGCAGAACCAGCCCAGGAGAGCAGCUGGCCUGUCAUCUGCUGAGGAGCGGAGGCGGCUGUGCCCAGGACUGCAAUGGCCUCCCACACUACCUCACUACCCUGGUCCAGGCUCACUGACAGAUGAGGAAACUGAGGCAGGGGCCCCGGUCUCACGGCCAUUGGUGCAGAGCUGGGAUCCACGACCAGGUGGGCUCUUUGUUA
rnacentral:lncRNA from 1 species